AGGACGAACGGCUGGCGGCGUGCCUAAUACAUGCAAGUAGAACGCUGAUUACUGGAGCUUGCUCUGGUAUGAUGAGUUGCGAACGGGUGAGUAACGCGUAGGUAACCUACCUUUUAGCGGGGGAUAACUAUUGGAAACGAUAGCUAAUACCGCAUAACAAUGAUUGCCGCAUGGCAGUUAUUUAAAAGGCGCAAUUGCGUCACUAAGAGAUGGACCUGCGUUGUAUUAGCUAGUUGGUGGGGUAACGGCUCACCAAGGCGACGAUACAUAGCCGACCUGAGAGGGUGAUCGGCCACACUGGGACUGAGACACGGCCCAGACUCCUACGGGAGGCAGCAGUAGGGAAUCUUCGGCAAUGGGGGCAACCCUGACCGAGCAACGCCGCGUGAGUGAAGAAAGGUUUUCGGAUCGUAAAGCUCUGUUGUAAGAGAAGAAUGUGUGUGGGAGUGGAAAAUCCAUGCAGUGACGGUAUCUUACCAGAAAGGGACGGCUAACUACGUGCCAGCCGCAGC
rnacentral:rRNA from 1 species